ACGCUCGACACCUACGGGGGCAGCAGUGGGGGAAUAUUGCACAAUGGGGGAAACCCUGAUGCAGCGACGCCGCGUGAGUGAAGAAGUAUUUCGGUAUGUAAAGCUCUAUCAGCAGGGAAGAGAAUGACGGUACCUGACUAAGAAGCCCCGGCUAACUACGUGCCAGCAGCCGCGGUAAUCUGAGGCGGGCUGGCAAGGC
rnacentral:rRNA from 1 species